rnacentral:lncRNA from 1 species
GGAGUUAUCUCAGGUCAUCUGAGUUUGGCUAGACACAUUAGCCAUUUGAAAUAUUUUAAUUGGUGCAAUUUGAAUUAGAUCUUGUGUUUUAUUUUGAUUGAUUUCCAUUGUGCGUCCUAGCCUGGGGAUUAUUGAAUCCGCCAUGCCAAUUAAUGAGGCUUGAUCCAACGCUCCGUUCUUUUUCUGAUUUUAUUUCUUUUUCUUUUUUGAUUUUAAACUUAUUUUUCUUUAAAAAUUCAUAGUAAUUUCAUUUUUUAUCAAAAAAAUCCCAAAAUAAUUUCUAAAAUUUUCUUUUAA